UACGUAGGGUGCGAGCGUUGCCCGGAUUUAUUGGGCGUAAAGGGCGCGUAGGCGGCUCGGCACGUCCGUUGUGAAAUCGCCCGGCUCAACUGGGCGGGGUCAGCGGAUACGGUCGAGCUUGAGCAAGCUAGGGGGUAAUGGAAUUCCCGGUGUAGUGGUGGAAUGCGUAGAUAUCGGGAGGAACACCAGUGGCGAAGGCGGUUACCUGGGGCUUUGCUGACGCUGAUGCGCGAAAGCGUGGGGAGCGAACAGG
rnacentral:rRNA from 1 species